CAGAGUUGCAAGACUCCCAACCCUUUGCGAACGAACUAGACAGUUGCCUCGGCGGGAUGCUCCUGGGGAGCUCUCCCGCCGGAGGACCACUAAACUCUUGAAUUUUUGGCCUCUCUGAGUAACUUUACAAUGAGUUA
rnacentral:misc_RNA from 1 species